UCCCUGGCAGUCCAGUGGUUAAGACUCUGCACUUCCAAUGCAUUGGGUACAGGUUCUAUCCCUGGUCAGGGAA
rfam:TPA: Bos taurus chromosome 19, whole genome shotgun sequence.